UACAGAGGGGGCAAGCGUUGCUCGGAAUUACUGGGCGUAAAGGGCGCGUAGGCGGGAUGGCAAGUCGGUCGUGAAAUCCCUCGGCUCAACCGAGGAACGUCGAUCGAUACUGCUGUUCUUGAGGAUUGCAGAGGAGACUGGAAUUCCCGGUGUAGCAGUGAAAUGUGUAGAGAUCGGGAGGAACACCGGUGGCGAAGGCGGGUCUCUGGGCAAUUCCUGACGCUGAGGCGCGAAAGCGUGGGGAGCAAACGGG
rnacentral:rRNA from 1 species